UGGGGAAUAUUGGGCAAUGGGCGAAAGCCUGACCCAGCAACGCCGCGUGAAGGAAGAAGGCUUUCGGGUUGUAAACUUCUUUUGACAGGGAAGAGCAGAAGACGGUACCUGUCGAAUAAGCCACGGCUAACUACGUGCCAGCAGCCGCGGUAAUACGUAGGUGGCAAGCGUUGUCCGGAUUUACUGGGUGUAAAGGGCGUGUAGCCGGGCUGACAAGUCAGAUGUGAAAUCCGGGGGCUCAACCCCCGAACUGCAUUUGAAACUGUUGGUCUUGAGUAUCGGAGAGGCAGGCGGAAUUCCUAG
rnacentral:rRNA from 1 species